AUUGAACGCUGGCGGCAUGCUUUACACAUGCAAGUCGAACGGCAGCGCGGGGCAACCUGGCGGCGAGAGGCGAACGGGUGAGUAAUACAUCGGAACGUACCCAGAAGUGGGGGAUAACGUAGCGAAAGUUACGCUAAUACCGCAUACGUUCUACGGAAGAAAGUGGGGGAACUUCGGGCCUCAUGCUUUUGGAGCGGCCGAUGUCUGAUUAGCUAGUUGGUGAGGUAAAGGCUCACCAAGGCGACGAUCAGUAGCUAGUCUGAGAGGACGACCAGCCACACUGGGACUGAGACACGGCCCAGACUCCUACGGGAGGCAGCAGUGGGGAAUUUUGGACAAUGGGCGCAAGCCUGGUCCAGCCAUGCCGCGUGCGGGAAGAAGGCCUUCGGGUUGUAAACCGCUUUUGUCGGGGAAGAAAUGCUCCGGGAUAAUACCCUGGGGAGAUGACGGUACCCGAAGAAUAAGCACCGGCUAACUACGUGCCAGCCGCCGCCGUAACAC
rnacentral:rRNA from 1 species